GACGAACGCUGGCGGCGUGCUUAACACAUGCAAGUCGAACGAGAUCCAUUGCGAGCUUGCUCAAGAGAAGAUCUAGUGGCGAACGGGUGCGUAACACGUGAGAAACCUGUCCCGAACUUGGGAAUAACAGUCGGAAACGACUGCUAAUACCGAACACCUUCGUAGCGUCGCAUGGCGCAUCGAAGAAAGCUUUCGCGGUUUGGGAGGGUCUCGCGGCCUAUCAGCUUGUUGGCGAGGUAACGGCUCACCAAGGCAUCGACGGGUAGCUGGUCUGAGAGGAUGAUCAGCCACACUGGGACUGAGACACGGCCCAGACUCCUACGGGAGGCAGCAGUGGGGAAUAUUGCACAAUGGGCGCAAGCCUGAUGCAGCAACGCCGCGUGCGGGAAGAAGGCCUUAGGGUUGUAAACCGCUUUCAGCAGGGAAGAAACUGACGGUACCUGCAGAAGAAGGAGCGGCCAACUACGUGCCAGCAGCCGCGGUAACAC
rnacentral:rRNA from 1 species